UAUGUGUCCCACCCCUGUGAUUGAGCACAAUAUCAGAGCGUCUGUCAGUCAGACUGUGAAUCAACAUCACUGUUCUUCAGUUCUCUCUUAUUCCCAGUAAAGAUGAGGACACUCGCUCUGAUCAUCUGCUCUCUGCUGCUGCUCCUCAAUGAGUGUAGAGGACAGAUCAGCGUCACUCAGAGUCCCUCAACGACAGCAGCUCAACCAGGAGAAACAGUGAAGAUCAGCUGUAGAACCAGCAGAGAUGUGUUUGUAUGGGCUAAUCGGGAUCAUUAUUUACACUGGUACUUACAGAAACCUGGAGAAGCUCCUAAACUCCUGAUUUAUGGAAUACGCCACCUCCAGUCAGGAACUCCAUCUAGAUUCAGCGGCAGUGGAUCUAACAGUGAUUUCACUCUGAGCAUCAGU